GUCAAAGCGUUCAUUAAAGUCGAGUUGGCUUAGGGAUACGUUCGUUGGGUAGGGGAGCGUUCUGUAAGCCUGUGAAGGUGUGUCGUGAGGCAUGCUGGAGGUAUCAGAAGUGCGAAUGCUGACAUAAGUAACGAUAAAGCGGGUGAAAAGCCCGCUCGCCGGAAGACCAAGGGUUCCUGUCCAACGUUAAUCGGGGCAGGGUGAGUCGACCCCUAAGGCGAGGCCGAAAGGCGUAGUCGAUGGGAAACGGGUUAAUAUUCCCGUACUUGGUGUUACUGCGAAGGGGGGACGGAGAAGGCUAUGUUGGCCGGGCGACGGUUGUCCCGGUUUAAGCGUGUAGGUGUGUGUUCCAGGUAAAUCCGGUUCACUUUAACACUGAGGCGUGACGACGAGGCACUACGGUGCUGAAGCAACAAAUGCCC
rnacentral:rRNA from 1 species